AAACAUACUUCUGGCUUCCUUUUUAUCACUGGAGGUAAUUCAGCAAAGAAGGACAUCAUCAUUGCUGGAUUCCUUAUCUAUUUUAACAAAGAAGACAAUUUGCAGAGUAGUAAAUGUGAAUACAGUUGAAUAGAUACACAAUUAGCCAAAAGUUUUAAAGUAAAUAUGCAAUUAGCCAAAAGUUUCUGUAAGUUUGACUUCAUUUGGUAUCUGCAAGUGAAAACCAAAGAUGGGGUUUGGGAGGAGGGUUGAGGAGGGGUGGUGGGUUUGGGAGAUGUCGGUCUGUCCACCCUCAGAUCGAUCACUGAAGAUGAUGUGCAUGCUAAGAUUUUGAUUGAUCAUCUCCAAGGUGCUCAAUGUCAAUCGAAAUCAGAAACAAUUGAAUGG